CCUACGGGCGGCAGCAGUGAGGAAUAUUGGUCAAUGGGCGUAAGCCUGAACCAGCCAAGUCGCGUGAGGGAUGAAGGUUCUAUGGAUCGUAAACCUCUUUUAUAAGGGAAUAAAGUGUGGGACGUGUCCUAUUUUGUAUGUACCUUAUGAAUAAGGAUCGGCUAACUCCGUGCCAGCAGUCGCGGUAAUACGGAGGUUCCGAGCGUUAUCCGUAUUUAUUGGGUUUAAAGGGUGCGUAGGUGGACUUUUAAGUUAGCGGUGAAAGUCUGUGGCUCAACCAUAGAAUUGCCGUUGAAACUGGUGGGCUAGAGUAUGUUUGAGGCAGGCGGAAUGCGUGGUGUAGCGGUGAAAUGCUUAGAUAUCACGCAGAACCCCGAUUGCGAAGGCAGCCUGCCAAGCCAUGACUGACGCUGAUGCACGAAAGCGUGGGGAUCAAACAGGAUUAGAUACCCUUGUAGUC
rnacentral:rRNA from 1 species